AAACAGAGCCCUGCUUUAGCUGGCUGAAUCCGGGCCAAAUUGUUAUUCAUAGAGCAGCAUUUGGUCCCCUUCAACCAGCUGUAGUUGGCAUUCUGAGCAAC
rnacentral:pre_miRNA from 1 species